GACGAACGCUGGCGGCGUGCUUAACACAUGCAAGUCGAACGAAGAGCGAUGGAAGCUUGCUUCUAUCAAUCUUAGUGGCGAACGGGUGAGUAACGCGUAAUCAACCUGCCCUUCAGAGGGGGACAACAGUUGGAAACGACUGCUAAUACCGCAUACGAUCUAAACUCGGCAUCGAGGAUAGAUGAAAGGUGGCCUCUACAUGUAAGCUAUCACUGAAGGAGGGGAUUGCGUCUGAUUAGCUAGUUGGAGGGGUAACGGCCCACCAAGGCGAUGAUCAGUAGCCGGUCUGAGAGGAUGAACGGCCACAUUGGGACUGAGACACGGCCCAGACUCCUACGGGAGGCAGCAGUGGGGAAUCUUCCGCAAUGGACGAAAGGCUGACGGAGCAACGCCGCGUGAGUGAUGACGGCCUUCGGGUUGUAAAGCUCUGUUAAUCGGGACGAAAGGCCUUCUUGCGAAUAGUGAGAAGGAUUGACGGUACCGGAAUAGAAAGCCACGGCUAACUACGUG
rnacentral:rRNA from 1 species